CAGGGCCGCUAAGGAAGAUGCCACGUUUUCAGGCCCUUCCAGAUAAAGAAGAGACCUGUGGUUAAAUAGACACACCCACCUUCAGAGGCGUGGCACAACCACCUGUUACUUCAGCCGGCCCUUCGGGGGUGGCCUCAACCUGGACACCCCCUCACAGGAGUGCUGGCAAAUUUUUCCCUCACCAGAUUUCCAGGGGUGGUUUACUGCCCUUUGGAACAGCGCUCCAGGCAACUGCCCGCAUGUCCUGGCCCUAAUCCAGCGUGCAAACGUAUUUGUCCGCAGAGAUGGGGUGUUCGCGGGGGUGAGAAUGGCACGCUGUGUGAGCCCAUCCUCCAGAGAAAGAGCACCAGUGGGGGCUGCGUGGAUCCACAGAAACAGAUGGAUGAGGAGGGGCUGGCUCGCGAGACUGUGGAGGCUGAGAAGGCCCACAGUGUGCCAUCUGCAAACCAGAGGCCCAGCAAAGUUGGCGGUGCAGCUCCAGUCCACGCCCGAGGCCUGAGAAGCAGGACACCAGUGUUUGCGGGCAGGAGAACACGGAGGUCCCAGCCCAGCGGGGAGCCAAUUCAUCCCUCCUCCACCUUUGUUCUAUUUGAGCCCCCAUGGAUUGGCGACGUCCUCCUACACUGGGGUCACCUCCUUCAGGAAGCCUUCCUGGAUCAGAAUGCAUCUGGGUGGAGAGCCCUUUGUCUGCAUUCGCACAGUGCCCUGCCCUUCCCUGCCCAGCCUGGACCGUGUCUGGACAUUAAUGCACCAAACUCAAGUUGUGGUUUCGUGUCUGUGUCUGGAGGCUGUGAGCUCCCUGAGGAAUCCAAGAAGGUGUGUGAGAAGGAAGCCUGGAGCUGGCAAGAGAAGGCGUGCUGGCUCUCUUCUCUCCACUCACAAGCUGCUGGAGCCGACACCUUCACCUGUGGGGAAGAAGGGAUCCCUGCCCUCCUUGGGAUGCCUAUGGUGUCCCACAGAAACGUCUGCAGGCACGUUCUCAAAGGACUGCAGUCCUUUCCAGGUUCUUUUGCUUCUAAAUCUCGGAGCCAGGGGGUGAUGAAGUCCUCGCGGGUGGAGGAGUCGGCAGAGGUCCUGCGGCUCGAGAGAAAUCCCGUCGUGCCUAGAAGCCACGUGUCCUGCCUUCGUGUCCGGAAGCCGGUCCUCCCUGUCACAGGGUUCCCAUCCUCAUCUGCUGCUGUAGAAGGAAAGAGCACGGAGAGUCACGACUGGGAGGCCUCGUGCACCAUUUCAUUUCUGCUCACAUCCUGCCGGCUGGAGCUCAGUGAUGUGGCCACACUGCCAGGGAUGCUGGGAGCAGCUGCUCUGCUUUGGACACAAAGCACUUCUGCAUCAGAAGCCCUGUGUUGCUUGCCCUCCACCUCCUGAGACUGCAGUCUUCCACACGCUUGGGCAUCCAUCUCCUGAGGCUGCAGUCUUCCUCACGCUUGGGCGUCCAUCUCCUGAGGCUGUGGUUUUCCACACGCUUGGGUGUCCAUCUCCUGAGGCUGCGGUCUUCCACAUGCUGUGCGGGUGCCUAUGCGCCUUGCAGUCCGGGGGCAGCAACACUGGCUUCAUUCCUAGUGCCUGCCAGUCUGUGAGCCUUGUAAAUCCACCAAGCUGGGAGCACUCUGAUUAUACACAGACAUCUUCCCUGGUGAAAAGGGUCUUGAGUAGUCAACUUGCCACCAAGUGCCUGAUUCAUCUCCUCAAAAGAUGGUCCAAAUAUGGGGCUCACCCUUGAUUCCUGUUGCUGGAGAAAAGGAGAGUCAGGAGGGGAUCCUGAGAAGAGCCAGCAAAGUCUCGUGAGGACCUGACUCAUCUGAGGCCUCUGCGUGCUGCUAGGCAAGGGGUGUGCUCACAAUCUUCGAUCACGGGUAACAGGCCACUUCUGCAGGCCCAGCAGUGCGGGGAAGCUGGGAGUUCAAAAUUCUCAGAAGUCAGUCCAGAUCUCAAGACUCAGAGUCCCACUCCUUUUCUGGUAUGGCCUUGACCUUGAGGUAGGAGACCUGCAAGCUGAGAAUUCAACCUCCUCUGAGGCUCUGCUGCCCUUACAUGGUUAAGUCCUGAACCUGGCCCUUCGCGCUGACGGCCUUCGGCUGCAAGAGUUAAAGUUUCCGUAAACACUGCAAAGGAAAUCCUGCUUUCACAGCUUGCCUUGAGUUGUCAACUAAUUACCAUAAGUCUGAUUCAUCUUUCUUCAGUGAGUACAUCCAUGGCACUCAGUCCAGCCACCAGCUCCACAGUUGUCUUGCCUCUCCGGUGCUAGAGACGUGCCCGAGCUGGGUGGCACCUUCCAUUUGUGUCCGAACACGGUUAACUUUGGUAGACAGUUUGCAGCUGCCUUGCUCCAGCACACCAGAGACCACUCCUACCGCACUGACCGCUGGUGAUGGCAUCCACAUUGCCAACUGGCCAGACAGUAAUCACCUCCAAACUCCCAUUUUACAGUCGGCCUCCUGGGAUUUCCUGGUAUGAACUGGCUUAGAUUGGGUUCCCUGGAAACAGAUGAAGAGAUGUAGAAUUUCGUCCAGGGGUCACUGGGGAGUGCUCUUGGGAGAAAUACCUGUCAAAAAAAAAGUGAGAAAGGGAAGAUUGGUGAAGAGAAGGAGCCGCAGCAGCAGGAGCAGCUGGCCUCGAAUCCUGCGGUUUCCACUGAGGAGUCAGCCCUUCCCAUGGGGAGCCUGGAGCUUGGACGGCCUCUCAGUGUUUCCCCGGUUGAGGCCAAGGUGCUGAGGCUUUGGGUUCCCACAUCAGCCCAUCCUUGGCCCAGCUUGUCCCUUAGGAAGGGUGUAACCUUGGGAAGGCAGUACCUUGCAGCUGAGGGCAACUCCCCGUGAGGGAUGCAGCUGUGAAUUGUCAGCAGCCAGCGUUCUCAGCAGCUGGGAACUGGACGACAUCCCGAUGAGGGACUCUGAGGAGAACACCAGAGUGUCCGCUGCAGGCACCCUAAGCUCGUGCUUCCCACUGAGCAAACAGGAAGGGCUGGAGUCAGGAAAAGUGGAGGAGCAAAGACAGUGUGUUGGAGGCGGCAACAUCAAUUUCACACCUGUGUGGGUUCUCACACAUUACUCUGUUUGAUCUUGGACAAGUUAAUCAGCCUCUUUGUACCUACGCGCCUCCAUCUAUAGAAUGACAUUACUGACGAGUAAAGACCUUGAAAUGGUGCCUCGCUUAUUGUAAAUACUCAGAAAAAUGUUGUUCCUAUUGCUAUUGGUAUUGUUUUUAUUGCUAUUUUUCAGCAGUCCAAACUUAUUUUCCAGCUACAUUUCACUUCCCGUCACCCUCUAACCUGGCCCUUCGCUGCUUUUCUCCUAAAACAAAACCUUUCCUUCUAUCUUGCUGAUUUCUUCUCUUUUUCUUGGAAGGUGCCACACCCCAAGCUUACCCAUCUCCC
ensembl:lncRNA